rnacentral:rRNA from 1 species
AGAGUUGGGAAUACCCGAAGCCUGUGAGCUAACUUAUAGAGGCAGCAGUCGAAGGUAGAAUCAAUGAUUGGGGUGAAGUCGUAACAAGGUACC